AAGCCAGAGCCUAGUACGAAAAGAGUAUUACAACUGAUUAAUGACUUUGGUCGGGUGGCUGGAUUUAAAUUAAAUAAACAGAAAACUAAGGUCUUGGGAAAAAAUUUGACUGAUACAGAGUCAGAACGGUUUCAGAAUGAGACGGAACUUAAUGUGGUUAAAAAAGUAAAAUACCUAGGGGUAAACAUAACAGCAAAAAAUCUAAGUCUUUUUAAGGACAACUAUGAAAAAUGCUGGACAGAAAUUAAGAGAGACUUAGAUAGUUGGUCAAAAUUGAAACUUUCUUUGUUAGGCCGAAUUGCUGCUAUCAAGAUGAAUGUAUUGCCAAGGAUGUUGUUUUUAUUUCAAACACUUCAGGUUUUGGACAAAAAGGAGUGCUUUCAGAAGUGGCAGAGAGAUAUUUCUAAGUUUGUCUGGCAGGGCAAAAAGCCCAGAAUAAGUUUAAGAUAUUAACUGAUGCAAAACAAAGAGGGGGCUUUGCCCUGCCAGACCUAAAGUUGUAUUAUGAAGCCGCAGCGUUCUGCUGGCUAAAAGACUGGCUACUUCUUGAAGACACUGAUGUGUUAGAUCUGGAAGGGUUCAACAAUGCUUUUGGAUGGCAUGCAUAUUUAUGGUAUGACAAGGUUAAAGCAAAUAAGGCCUUUAAGAACCAUAUUGUCAGAAAAUCACUGUUUAAUGUCUGGACAAAAUAUAAAGACUUGCUGGAAAAUAAAACACCAAGGUGGCUUUCACCUUUGGAAGCUAAGGCCCGAAAAAGACCCAAUAUGGAGGCUAAAUGGCCAAAAUAUUGGGAAAUAUUAGAAAAGGAUGGAGAUAAUUGGAAAUUGCAGAGUUUGGAGAAAAUGAAAGACAAAGUGUGAGAUUGGUUACAUUAUGCUCAGAUUAAAGAAGUUUUUAAAAAUGAUAAGAAACUAGGGUUCCAGGUGGAGAAAUCGAAACUAGAAACAGAAUUGUUAGAAUCAAAGAUUAAGGUACUUUCAAGGAUGUAUAACUUGCUGUUAAAAUGGAAUACACAAGAUGAAACGGUUAAAUCGGCUAUGAUAAGGUGGGCACAGGACAUUGGGUAUAAUAUCAUGUUUGAGGACUGGGAAAGGUUGUGGAGUAAUGGAUUGAAAUUUACUGCAUGUAACGCUUUGAAAGAAAAUGUAAUGAAAAUGAUUUAUAGAUGGUAUAUGACCCCAGUCAAACUUGCAAAAAUUUACCACCUGUCUGACAAUAAGUGUUGGAAAUGUAAAGAGUGUGAGGGAACGUUCUUCCACCUCUGGUGGACUUGCCCUAAAGUGAAGGCGUUCUGGGAAAUGAUUUAUAAUGAAUUGAAAAAGGUAUUUAAAUAUACCUUCACUAAGAAACCAGAGGCUUUCCUUUUGGGUAUUGUCGGCCAAGGGGUGGUAAAGAAGGACCAGACAUUUUUUAUGUAUGCAACAACAGCAGCAAGGAUACUUCUCGCAAAACACUGGAAAACUCAAGAUCUACCCACACUGGAAGAAUGGCAGAUGCAACUGAUAGACUACAUGGAAUUGGCUGAAAUGACCGGCAGAAUUCGUGACCUGGGAGAAGAGAGGAUUGAGGAGGACUGGAAGAAAUUUAAGAAUUAUUUACAAAAACAUUGUAAUUUGAGCGAAUGCUAAAUAGGAUGCUAGACCAAAAUAACUGAGCACCACUAAAUUUAGAGGUUUUUAAGAAAAUAAGUAAGAUUGUGAAAAUUUAACUCCUUUUGAGAACUAUAAGAUUAUGAAACAUAGAAGGGAUAUAAGAAUGUAAAUAAGAUGAUAAAUUGCUGACAAAAUGUUAUAACGAUGAAAGUGGGAGCGGGAGAUGUGAGGAAGUCCAAAGAAAAUGUGAAACUAUGUUAAGACAAAUGUUAUAUUGUUUAUUAUGUUUAUUUCUAUUGUAAAACCCAAUAAAUUG